rnacentral:rRNA from 1 species
UACGGGGGGGGCAAGCGUUGUUCGGAAUUACUGGGCGUAAAGGGCGCGUAGGCGGCCAGACCAAGUCGAGUGUGAAAUUGCAGGGCUUAACUUUGCAGGGUCGCUCGAUACUGGUCGGCUAGAGUGUGGAAGAGGGUGCUGGAAUUCCCGGUGUAGCGGUGAAAUGCGUAGAUAUCUGGAGGAACACCGGUGGCGAAGGCGACAUCCUGGACCGGUAUUGACGCUGAGGCGCGAAAGCCAGGGGAGCAAACGGG